GUUCAGCAGCUUUAGCAAGGACUUUAUACAUCCUACAGGAUUAAACUAUAUCAUCUGAAGGAGCCAUGUGUCUCUUGUUUACUGCUGAACCUUCAUAAAACUGUUAAAAACGGAAGGAUGUUGAUGUUUGACUUUAGAAACUGAGUCACAUUUAAAGCUCUUCACGAUCCCAGCUACAUUAUUGAACUGCUGCUCCCUAUGAGCCAGAGAGCAGCCCUGCAGAUCUGGACUACCCUGGCCAAGGACCUGAAGCUGUGGAAUCAGUGACAACUACUAUCCUUUUAAAGACAGACACCAUUUUGUUGCCUUCAUGUUUUCUCUUUCUUAUUAAUAUUGUUAAUUUUGUUAUUGUCUUUAUUGUUGGAAUUUUUAUUGAAGUGUCUGAUUUUAUUUGCAUCAGUCCUGACAUGUUUUAAUCCUGGUUCAACCUGUAAAGUACUUUGUAACUUUUGAAAAGUGCAGUAUAAAUGAAGUUUAUUGUUAUGAAUAUCAUUUAUUGCUAUGUUUUGUAGCUGAUGCUAUUUUCCCUGUUUCACCAGUGUUUCAGGU